rnacentral:sRNA from 1 species
UUCUUUGGCCCGUCACUAUCUCUAUUACGAGAAUGCCGAAACUGAACACGUCUGAUUUUGUAGAGUACUGCCCGCACAUCACGUACUCAGGAGGCAUGUAACCGCUGCAUCCACAAUGAUGAUUGUAUUACUUUGCUAGUUAAUAUAAGCAUAAAAAUAUAAAGUAUUCCAUCAACUUAAUUACAAUGUCCCAGCAAUGCGGCUUGUGACUUCUCGAGUUUGGUCCUGCUCGAAGAGCUUGGCGAGGCCAAAGUCCCCAAUCUUAGGGUUCAUGUCAGCAUCUAGCAAAAUAUUGCUUGCCUUCAUAUCACGGUGGACGAUCUUCUUCUGAGAGUCCUGGUGAAGAUAUUGGAGUCCCCGAGCGGUACCUUCUAUGAUCUUAAAUCGUGUGGCCCAGUCUAACCGUUUCCUUUGCUCUGUAUCUUUUUUCACCAAAUGUUAGAAAAGUCACUAUUAUUGGUGGAGUGAAAUGAUUACAGGAGUAACAAAUGA